rnacentral:rRNA from 1 species
CACACUGUAAACGAUGAUAACUCGCUGUCGGCGAUACACAGUCGGUGGCCAAGCGAAAGCAUUAAGUUAUCCACCUGGGGAGUACGACCGCAAGGUUGAAACUCAAAGGAAUUGACGGGG